UGGGGAAUUUUGGACAAUGGGCGCAAGCCUGAUCCAGCAAUGCCGCGUGAGUGAAGAAGGCCUUCGGGUUGUAAAGUCUUUUGUCAGGGAAGAAACGGUUCGGGCUAAUAUCCUGGGCUAAUGACGUACCUGAAGAAUAAGCACCGGCUAACUACAUG
rnacentral:rRNA from 1 species